rnacentral:rRNA from 1 species
UGCGUAGGCGGGCUAAUAAGUCAGUGGUGAAAUAUUCCGGCUCAACCGGGAGACUGCCAUUGAUACUGUUGGUCUUGAGUUCGGCUGAGGUAGGCGGAAUGUGUAAUGUAGCGGUGAAAUGCUUAGAUAUUACACAGAACACCAAUUGCGUAGGCAGCUUACUAGACCGACACUGACGCUGAGGCACGAAAGCGUGGGGAGCGAACAGGAUUAGAUACCCUGGUAGUCC